GGUAGCACAGAGAGCUUGCUCUCGGGUGACGAGUGGCGGACGGGUGAGUAAUGUCUGGGAAACUGCCUGAUGGAGGGGGAUAACUACUGGAAACGGUAGCUAAUACCGCAUAAUGUCGCAAGACCAAAGGAGGGGGACCUUCGGGCCUCUUGCCAUCACAUGUGCCCAGAUGGGAUUAGCUAGUAAGUGGGGUAACGGCUCACCUACGCGACGAUCCCUAGCUGGUCUGAGAGGAUGACCAGCCACACUGGAACUGAGACACGGUCCAGACUCCUACGGGAGGCAGCAGUGGGGAAUAUUGCACAAUGGGCGCAAGCCUGAUGCAGCCAUGCCGCGUGUAUGAAGAAGGCCUUCAGGUUGUAAAGUACUUUCAGCGGGGAGGAAGGUGUUGUGGUUAAUAACCGCAACAAUUGACGUUACCCGCAGAAGAAGCACCGGCUAACUCCGUGCCAUCAGCCGCGGUAAUACGGAGGGUGCAAGCGUUAAUCGGAAUUACUGGGCGUAAAGCGCACGCAGGCGGUCUGUCAAGUCGGAUGUGAAAUCCCCGGGCUCAACCUGGGAACUGCAUUCGAAACUGGCAGGCUGGAGUCUUGUAGAGGGGGGUAGAAUUCCAGGUGUAGCGGUGAAAUGCGUAGAGAUCUGGAAGAAUACCGGUGGCGAAAGCGGCCCCCUGGACUAAGACUGACGCUCAGGUGCCAAAGCGUGGGGAGCAAACAGGAUUAGAUACCCUGGUAGUCCACGCCGUACACGAUGUCGAUUUGGAGGUUGUGCCCUUGAGGCGUGUCUUCCGGAGCUAACGCGUUAAAUCGACCGCCUGGGGAGUACGGCCGCAAGGUUAAACUCAAUGAAUUGACGGGGGCCCGCACAAGCGCUGGAACAUGUGGUUUAAUUCGAUGCAACUCGAAGACCUUACCUGAUCUUGACAUCCACAGAACUUUCCAGAGAUGGAUUGGUGCCUUCGGAACUGUGAGACAGUGCUGCAUGGCUGUCGUCAGCUCGUG
rnacentral:rRNA from 1 species